UACGUAGGGUGCGAGCGUUAAUCGGAAUUACUGGGCGUAAAGCGUGCGCAGGCGGAUUAUUAAGCAAGAUGUGAAAUCCCCGGGCUUACCCUGGGAAUGGCAUUUUAAACUGGCAGUCUAGAGUGUGUCAGAGGGGGGUGGAAUUCCACGUGUAGCGGUGAAAUGCGUAGAUAUGUGGAGGAACACCAAUGGCGAAGGCAGCCCCCUGGGUCGACACUGACGCUCAUGCACGAAAGCGUGGGGAGCAAACAGG
rnacentral:rRNA from 1 species